rnacentral:rRNA from 1 species
UACGAAGGUCCCAAGCGUUAUCCGGAUUUAUUGGGUUAAAGGGUGCGUAGGCGGUCUUUAAGUCAGGGGUGAAAUCCUGGAGCUCAACUCCAGAACUGCCUUUGAUACUGAGAUCUUGAGUUCGGGAGAGGUGAGUGGAACUGCGAGUGUAGAGGUGAAAUUCGUAGAUAUUCGCAAGAACACCAGUGGCGAAGGCGGCUCACUGGCCCGAUACCUGACGCUGAGGCACGAAAGC